rnacentral:tRNA from 1 species
GAGGGAGGCAAGAGCAUGAAGGACUGCUAAUCCUCCACCCUGUAGUUAAAUCCCACAGACCCU